GAGCGAUGAUGAAAAGUUUCUUACUGAUUACCCUGAGGACUCUACACUUGAUCUUAGCUCA
rnacentral:snoRNA from 1 species